UACGAAGGGUGCAAGCGUUACUCGGAAUUACUGGGCGUAAAGCGUGCGUAGGUGGUUCGUUAAGUCUGUCGUGAAAGCCCCGGGCUCAACCUGGGAAUGGCGAUGGAUACUGGCGGGCUAGAGUGCGGUAGAGGAGAGUGGAAUUCCCGGUGUAGCAGUGAAAUGCGUAGAGAUCGGGAAGAACAUCAGUGGCGAAGGCGGCCUGCUGGGCUGUUGCUGACGCUGAGGCGCGACAGCGUGGGGAGCAAACAGG
rnacentral:rRNA from 1 species